rnacentral:rRNA from 1 species
AGAGUUUGAUCAUGGCUCAGGAUGAACGCUGGCGGCGUGCCUAACACAUGCAAGUCGAGCGAUCUUCUUCGGAAGAGAGCGGCGGACGGGUGAGUAACGCGUGGGUAACCUGCCUCAUACACAUGGAUAACAUACCGAAAGGUAUGCUAAUACAAGAUGAUAUAAGAGAUUCGCAUGGAUUUCUUAUCAAAGCUCCGGCGGUAUGAGAUGGACCCGCGUCUGAUUAGCUAGUUGGUAAGGUAACGGCUUACCAAGGCGACGAUCAGUAGCCGACCUGAGAGGGUGAUCGGCCACAUUGGAACUGAGACACGGUCCAAACUCCUACGGGAGGCAGCAGUGGGGAAUAUUGCACAAUGGGCGAAAGCCUGAUGCAGCAACGCCGCGUGAGCGAUGAAGGCCUUCGGGUCGUAAAGCUCUGUCCUCAAGGAAGAUAAUGACGGUACUUGAGGAGGAAGCCCCGGCUAACUACGUGCCAGCAGCCGCGGUAAUACGUAGGGGGCUAGCGUUAUCCGGAUUUACUGGGCGUAAAGGGUGCGUAGGUGGUUUCUUAAGUCAGGAGUGAAAGGCUACGGCUCAACCGUAGUAAGCUCUUGAAACUGGGAAACUUGAGUGCAGGAGAGGAAAGUGGAAUUCCUAGUGUAGCGGUGAAAUGCGUAGAUAUUAGGAGGAACACCAGUAGCGAAGGCGGCUCUCUGGACUGUAACUGACACUGAGGCACGAAAGCGUGGGGAGCAAACAGGAUUAGAUACCCUGGUAGUCCACGCCGUAACGAUGAGUACUAGUGUCGGGGGUUACCCCCCUCGGUGCCGCAGCUAACGCAUUAGUACUCUGCCUGGGGAGUACGCUCGCAGAGUGAAACUCAAAGGAAUUGACGG